rnacentral:rRNA from 1 species
AACGAACGCUGGCGGCAGGCUUAACACAUGCAAGUCGAACGGGCGUAGCAAUACGUCAGUGGCAGACGGGUGAGUAACACGUGGGAACCUUCCUAGGGGUACGGAACAACUCAGGGAAACUUGAGCUAAUACCGUAUACGUCCGUGAGGAGAAAGAUUUAUCGCCCUUAGACGGGCCCGCGUCGGAUUAGCUAGUUGGUGGGGUAACGGCCUACCAAGGCGACGAUCCGUAGCUGAUCUUAGAGGAUGAUCAGCCACACUGGGACUGAGACACGGCCCAGACUCCUACGGGAGGCAGCAGUGGGGAAUUUUGGACAAUGGGGGCAACCCUGAUCCAGCCAUGCCGCGUGAGUGAAGAGGGCC